UUGAGGCGGGUGCUGGUGGCUGUCUCCUGUUGAGGGCAGUCACUGGACUGGGCUGGUUGGAUGCAAGAUACGUUGCUACCAGGAAUGUGUGUGACUGGAUUUCUCUCUUCUCUCUGCUUCUUUGGAGGUUCCCACAUUCCAGCCACCAGUCACUUUUCCUAGAAAAGGUCCUGUAAUUGGGGGGUUCUCCUUCCACCUUUGAUCUCUUCCCAGAGCCUCCCACUGGUGGUACCCAACAGAGUCCAGAAGCCAAAGAAGCCAGGGGAUGCCAGGUGGGGGACACAUAAGGUAGUAGAUGGAUCGGGUGAGUAGGGAGCUAAGUGAAGAGUUGCCAGGCUCUUUCCUGGGUGGGUGGAUGGGUGGGUGAACAGGUGAGUGGAUAGGUAGGUGGGUGGGUGGAUGGGUAGACUGGGGGUGGCGACAAAGUCAGUGAAUCACUUGUCUCAAUUUCCUCCUCUGUGAACUGUGAUGAUUGAAAAUCCUCUCCAUAUACAAAACAAUACCAGUGAAAAUCAGGAGUGAGGUAGAAAUAUUAAACUCCCUGCAGUGCUAUGUGUAUGUCAAUCUUAUUUUAUAUUUUGGUUUAUUUGGGGGACAAGAUCGAGAAGAAAAAAAUAUGAUCUUAGUGGUGAUAAACAAAGCCAACUUUAAGGGAAUGAUUCUGUUCAAGCUUGUUUGAUGUGCACUUAGACAUUUAAAAACCUGACAAACUAGACAAUGAUGAUGUUCCAGUGCUGCUCAUGGAAAAGACUAGACGACUGUGUUCACACCAUUAUCAUAAAAGUCCUUAAGACACAGAAGACAGACUUCUCUGAUUGCUGAACUUCACUGAGAUGCACGCCUUUUUCAACUGAAAGAGGGAAUGCACUUCAUUCAUAACUAAACUCAAAACUAAACUAAACUGAUCAGGAACUGAACUCAAGAGGCACGUUUGAUGGGUGAGCACAAAACAUUCCAGCACUCUCAUGGCUCCAAGCAGGUGGCCCUUUCUGGACCCUCACCGACCGUCAGGUGAGAAGCCCUGCAGAGCUGUACCUGUAUGCGUCCUUCGAUGAGCCUUCAGGAUGGAACAGGAACACUGAAACAACUGUGGAUUCCUGGAUUACACUGGACAGGGAACAGAAGACACAAAACUUGUUGAAAUAUUCAGAACAUGUCCACAGAAUUUCUUCAGAAAACACUGGGGUUUACAUUAUGUUCAUGCCAGGAGUUGUAGCUUGAUGGAUCAUUGAAACCUCAAAAAA